rnacentral:rRNA from 1 species
CCCUUAGAUGUCCUGGGCCGCACGCGCGUUACACUGAUGCAUUCAACGAGUUUCUUCCUGGUCCGAGAGGAAUGGGUAACCUUUUGAAAGUGCAUCGUGAUAGGGAUAGACUAUUGCAAUUAUUGGUCUUCAACGAGGAAUUCCUAGUAGACGUAGUUCAUCAGACUGCAUCGAUUACGUCCCUGCCCUUUGUACACACCGCCCGUCGCUCCUACCGAUUGAAUGCUCAGGUGAGCCAUUCGGACCUUCAUCAUGCCGGUUUCCGGUUUUGAUGAGGGAAAGUCUUGCGAACCUUAUCAUUUAGAGGAAGGAGAAGUCGUAACA